UGCAGUCAGCAGUCUGGAUCCUCUUGUACAGAGCUACUGUAUCAUUAACCAGGUGUGUGGGGAGGCUGGGAUCCACUAUUACUGUAUCAAUAACCAGGUGUAUGGGGAGGCUGGGAUCCACUAUUACUGUAUCAAUAACCAGGUGUGUGGGGAGGCUGGGAUCCACUAUUACUGUAUCAAUAACCAGGUGUGUGGGGAGGCUGGGAUCCCCAGAAGCACUGUAAUUCGUUCAUCUGGAAUGUUUGACCUUUGUCUGAACUCAUUAGGGGGAAUAUUGUCAUUUUGGCCCACUCCUUCUCUCACCUGAAUAAAUAACCUUUUUCAG
ensembl:lncRNA